rnacentral:rRNA from 1 species
UACGGAAGGCAGCAGUGGGGAAUAUUGCACAAUGGGCGCAAGCCUGAUGCAGCCAUGCCGCGUGUAUGAAGAAGGGCCUUCGGGUUGUAAAGUACUUUCAGUCGUGAGGAAGGUGUUAAGGUUAAUAACCUUAGCAAUUGACGUUAGCGACAGAAGAAGCACCGGCUAACUCCGUGCCAGCAGCCGCGGUAAUACGGAGGGUGCGAGCGUUAAUCGGAAUUACUGGGCGUAAAGGGCACGCAGGCGGUUAAUUAAGUUGGAUGUGAAUCCCCGGGCUUAACCUGGGAAUGGCAUUCAAGACUGGUUAGCUAGAGUCUUGUAGAGGGGGUAGAAUUCCAUGUGUAGCGGUGAAAUGCGUAGAGAUGUGGAGGAAUACCGGUGGCGAAGGCGGCCCCUGGGACAAAGGACUGACGCUCGAUGUGCGAAAGCGUGGGGAGCAAACAGGAUUAGAUACC